UACAGAGGGGGCAAGCGUUGUUCGGAAUUACUGGGCGUAAAGGGCGCGUAGGCGGCCGCCUAAGUCAGACGUGAAAUCCCUCGGCUCAACCGGGGAACUGCGUCUGAUACUGGGUGGCUUGAAUCCGGGAGAGGGAUGUGGAAUUCCAGGUGUAGCGGUGAAAUGCGUAGAUAUCUGGAGGAACACCGGUGGCGAAGGCGGCAUCCUGGACCGACACUGACGCUGAGGCGCGAAAGCUAGGGUAGCAAACGGG
rnacentral:rRNA from 1 species